UCACCUGUUCAGUGUUCAGGUUGGAGUGGAGUCUUCUUCAUCUCUCUGGUUAAAUAAACUUGAAGCCGGACUCGUUCCAGUGAGUAGCUCACCUGUGUCAGAGUCUCUAGGGUCCAGGUUGGAGUGGAGUCUUCUUCUGAACUCUGUGGACUGGUUAAAUAAACUGUGAAGGUAGAAAGUGUGUGUGAGCUGAUGUGAAUCCAGCAGAAUGGAUCAGUGUGAGGACAGAG